rnacentral:tRNA from 1 species
GGCACCUUAGCCAAGUGGUAAGGCCCGGGUCUGCAAAACCCUCAUGCCUCAGUUCGAAUCUGAGAGGUGCCUCCA